GGUAUAUAAGCAAGCGUAUUAUUCAGCACGAUUUGCGGGAAAGCAGUCAUCCAUAUUGGUUGAAGCAGUUGUUCUUCACUUUUAUUCUGUUUUCUAUAAAGUCACAGCACUGGGCAUCAUCUGCAGUCAAGACUGGGGUCAUAAGCUGUCAUAGGAGGCCAAUCCACAAUUGGGCUUUGACAACUUUGCAACGCCUUUGUGAUUUCUCUGAGACGCUUUAAAUAAGCUGUUUAUCAUAGUUAUUUCCAGAGAUUGUAUUACAAUUAUGUAAUCAUUAAAAGUUAUAGUGUUGAGGGAAAACUAAAUUAAAUGGACAUGUAAUGAACCCAGCUUAUGUGUUGUUUGUAUAUAUUCAUUUU